GAACCUUUCGUGAGGAAAGUCCGAGCAUCACAGGACAGGAUAGCUGCUAACGGCAGCCGGAGGCGACUCUAGGGCUAGUGCAACAGAAAGAAACCGCCGCUUUUGCGGUAAGGAUGGAAAGGCGAGGUAAGAGCUCACCGGCGUAUGCGAGAGCAUGCGGCCAUGUAAACCCUAUCCGAUGCAACACCGACUGGGAUGGAUUCGUUGGUCCGACGGUCCCGACGGGUGGCGAUGAGCGUUUCAGGGCGACCUGGCGCCAAGAUAGAUUGUCAUAUUCAACAGAACUCGGCUUAUAGAUUUGCUCUU
rnacentral:RNase_P_RNA from 1 species